rnacentral:rRNA from 1 species
AGUGAACGCUGGCGGUAGGCCUAACACAUGCAAGUCGAACGGCAGCACAGUAAGAGCUUGCUCUUACGGGUGGCGAGUGGCGGACGGGUGAGGAAUACAUCGGAAUCUACUUUUUCGUGGGGGAUAACGUAGGGAAACUUACGCUAAUACCGCAUACGACCUACGGGUGAAAGCAGGGGAUCUUCGGACCUUGCGCGAUUGAAUGAGCCGAUGUCGGAUUAGCUAGUUGGCGGGGUAAAGGCCCACCAAGGCGACGAUCCGUAGCUGGUCUGAGAGGAUGAUCAGCCACACUGGAACUGAGACACGGUCCAGACUCCUACGGGAGGCAGCAGUGGGGAAUAUUGGACAAUGGGCGCAAGCCUGAUCCAGACAUACCGCGUGGGUGAAGAAGGCCUUCGGGUUGAAAAGCCCUUUUGUUGGGAAAGAAAAGCAGCAGGUUAAUACCCCGCUGUUCUGACGGUACCCAAAGAAUAAGCACCGGCUAACUUCGUG